rnacentral:rRNA from 1 species
AAGGAUUCCCUUAGUACGGGCGACGGAAGCGGGAAAAGCCCACAUUGGUAAUCUCCAGGUUUCACCUGGCGAAUUGUAAUCUGAAGAUAGUUAGCUCACCUGGAUGACGCGUCGAAAUGUGCACGAGCGCACUGCCAAAGAGGGUGAGAGCCCCGUAAGGUGCGUCGUCCUAACGAGCUGGUUGUCUAAGAGUCGUGUACUUUGAUACUAGUGCACUAAGCGGGAGAUAAACUUCUUCUAAGGCUAAAUAUAAGUAGGAAACCGAUAGCGAACAAGUACUGUGAAGGAAAGAUGAAAAGCACUUUGAAGAGAAAGUUAAAAGACUUGAAAUCGUUGAGGCGGACCCGGUAGAAAUGUAUUCUAGCGAAGCGCCCGGGGAAGCCUGUACGCGGGCCACUUGGGCACUAGCCGAGACAAGAUGGAGUCGCGCGAUGCCAGAGGCGGUGCAGGAGCUGGCUUGCCGGAGCCUGUGCUUGUUGGGUGUCGCGCGGCUUGAGGGGCCUUGCGCGAUCUUGUCAAAAUGGUUUUUACCGACUCGUCUUGAAACACGAACCAAGGAGUCUAAGACUAACGCGAGUGUGGUGGUGGAGAAACCAACACGCGAAAUGAAAGUAAAUGAUGCCAGGAACCCUGCAGCAUCGACCGACUUUUUUCUUCUGGAAGAGGUUUGAGUAAGAGCGUUAUUCUUAGGACCCGAAAGAUGGUGAAACUAU